UGGGUUUGUGUAUGUACCGGCCGAUUUUGGGACAGACUUUUUUGUGGUGACAUAUAUAUACGUUAGAACCCUAAAACCGGCCUUAACCUGACUUGGAACCCUAGCGGUUCCAAUCUAACUGGCUGGCUUUUCUAACAUUGAACUGGACCAAAUUCCCAUUUAUUUGCUUUCAAUUGGACUAAUAGCCAACAUAGGUUAUUAGAAGUUCGUGGUCUUUCAAGACAGGCUUAAGAAUGAGAAAUAAAUCCUUUAAUUUUGAGGGUAAGCCUCAAAUCUCAUGAGCAACGGGAAAUAUAUAUCUACGGCGCUGCCAACCUCCAAAUAAUAAAUAUGCGGGCAAUUUAUGAAAAUACCCAUUAGAGAUAGAAAUGUAUAUGAUGAGACCUUUUAUUUUUUAUACAAAUAUGAAGGUCACAAUCAUAGUCAACCCUUGGAUGUAAAAUCAGAUAGGUCAUGGUGUGUCACUAAUUGAGCACAAACUCCAAAGCAAAUUUUAUCGAAAACUGUGAAACAUUUUAAUAAGUUAAAUUUUAAAUCCAAUGGCUAAGAAAAUUUGUGACGUUCUUGUAAUAAAACUAAAUGAUCUCAUAGUAUACAAUACCAUUAGAGAUUGAGUAAUUAACAUUUGGCCUAUUUGCAUCUAUUCAAACAUAAGGCCACGUGUUUUUCAAUAGGUAUUUUGAAAAUCAAAAUCAAUAGAUAUGGGCUAAAUGUUAAAUUAUUUAUCUCUCAUGGUAAUUUGAAAAUUUUCCCUAACUAUGUAACUGUCUAUUACAAUUGCCUUUUAAACAGACGGCUUAGAUCAGUUGAGUGAAAAUGUCGUUGAAUAAAAAGAAAAAUUUGGUAAUCAAAAGCAAAGCCCGUAUACUAUAAUUUCUCAGAGAAAGGAUCAUUUCCUCGAGUUACUCUCUUUCAACAAAGAGUAACACCAUUUUUCUAAUCAUCCAUCUUCAUCAUUGUCUUGAUAGUCACAUACUCUUCAUACCCACACAUGUUACAACACAAUCCCUAACAUUCAGACAAGUACUGAAUGCAACAUUCUCUCCAACCCACAAUAGAGAAAAUCCUACUUCUAGGGGGCAAAAAUCAAGAAAAUGAAAGACACUAUAAAUAAAGAAACCCCUAAAAAUCUAUAUAAAAAUCCUAUUUAGUAAUGCAUCAAUAAAAACUUGCAAAUUCUAAAAAAGGAGCACCAAGCUCUUGGGACCUCCAUCAAUGGAGGAUUUUUCUUGUUACAUCCCACAUGCAAAGCAAAACUAAGAAUUCACGUCCACAAUCCUUUCAUUCAUAGUGUUGCUCUGUUCAAUACUCAUUUUUUAAUUACCAUGUUCCCUGAAAACUACAAAUUUAGGGCUUGGAGAGAAGAGUUAGAGAGAGGGGUACUAGAAAUGAGCAAGGAAAGAAAUUUGGGGCUUAGAUGGGAGAGGGAGAACACCGCUCUUCACGUUUCUUAUUUUGUGGCAUUUUCAUUCAAGCAAUCCCAAUCAUCUAUUUAUACGGUAUGCUACUUGAGUCAGUGCCAGAAAAUAAAUUCUCCCAUGAAGGGACAAAUGUAAUUGGGUGGCUUUUACUCUUUACCUCGUCACAAGAAGAGGCAGUAUCUACACUAUAUUAUUAAGUAAGAGUUAAGAGGUGGACACAUAUCCCAAAAAUAAAAAUAAAACCUAUGGUAAGAGAAACAAUGAGGUCGGUAAAAUCAUAUUCUUUCAUUUGUGUGAUCAUCUUAUUUGUCUUUGGAGUGAAAUUUCUCCAAAUAUCUUAUAUUUCCUUAAGGUAAUCUCGAUUCUUAUAUUUUCUCGACUAAUGAUGCAAGAAACAAAGCUGUCCUUCCAUAAUUCUCUAAAUUCGAUAACAUGCACAGUCAUUAAAUGGGUGCAUUUUAACUCAAAUGCACGAUAUUAAAUCUUUAUUUUGCAUGAAAUGUACAUUAAAUGAUGUCCAAUGUCUGAACUAAUAAAAAUACACAUGAAAAGUCACAUAAGAUAAUAAUCAUAUCUUCAAGCCAAUAUUACUAAAAGACACAAUAACAUGAAAGAAAUUCCACUCAAUGAAUUACAAGGCAACUACGAAAGAGCACGACUAUUAACUAAGACUCACAAGUGAUGCCUAAUCAAACACACAAUAUCAAGUAAAUCUCAGUCACUGAAGAGUUAAUGGGGUGGUCCAUGAGGACCAGGGGGUGGAGGAGGUGGUCCAUGAGGACCAGAGGGUGGAGGAGGUGGUCCAUGUGGUGCCGGUGGAGGUGAAGGCGGAUGCGGGUGGGGGGGCGGGGGCGGGUCUGGCCCAAAGAUGGCCCUCAGAGUUCCACCAACAAACCCUAAAGCCCUACCAACAAGGCUUGGUGGAUGAGGGUGAGGGCCUUCAUGAGGGGGAUGCUCAGGCAUUCUUGCUUCUGGUGUCGUAGAUGAUGGCUCUUUCGUUCUAGUCUGGUUUUUGUAGGAAACAAGUCUUGUUAUUCA
rnacentral:lncRNA from 1 species